rnacentral:rRNA from 1 species
UUUACGGGGGGGGGACGGGAAGAACCUUACCAGGUCUUGACAUCUUCUGACCGCCCUGGAGACAGGGUUUUCCCUUCGGGGACAGAAUGACAGGUGGUGCAUGGUUGUCGUCAGCUCGUGUCGUGAGAUGUUGGGUUAAGUCCCGCAACGAGCGCAACCCUUGGUUUUAGUUGCCAGCAUUCAGUUGGGCACUUUAAGGUGACUGCCGGUGACAAGUCGGAGGAAGGUGGGGAUGACGUCAAAUCAUCAUGCCCCUUAUGACCUGGGCUACACACGUGCUACAAUGGAUGGUACAAAGGGCAGCGAAGCCGCGAGGCUGAGCCAAUCCCAGAAAUCCAUUCUCAGUUCGGAUUGCAGUCUGCAACUCGCCUGCAUGAAGCCUGGAAUCGCUAGUAAUCGCGGAUCAGCAGCCGUCGUG